rnacentral:rRNA from 1 species
AGAGUUUGAUCCUGGCUCAGAUUGAACGCUGGCGGCACGCCUAACACAUGCAAGUCGAGCGGCAGCAUGCUUAGUAGCAAUACUAAGUGAUGGCGAGCGGCGGACGGGUGAGGAACACGUAGGAACCUGCCCAAGAGAGGGGGAUAACUAAGGGAAACUUUAGCUAAUACCGCAUAAUCUCUUAGGAGAAAAGUUGCCCGCAAGGGUAGCGCUUUUGGAGGGGCCUGCGUCCGAUUAGCUAGUUGGUGAGGUAAUAGCUCACCAAGGCGAUGAUCGGUAACUGGUCUGAGAGGACGACCAGUCACACUGGGACUGAGACACGGCCCAGACUCCUACGGGAGGCAGCAGUGGGGAAUCUUGGACAAUGGGGGCAACCCUGAUCCAGCGAUGCCGCGUGGGUGAAGAAGG